rnacentral:rRNA from 1 species
UACGUAGGGUGCAAGCGUUGUCCGGAAUUAUUGGGCGUAAAGAGCUCGUAGGCGGUUUGUCGCGUCUGCUGUGAAAACCCGAGGCUCAACCUCGGGCCUGCAGUGGGUACGGGCAGACUAGAGUGCGGUAGGGGAGACUGGAAUUCCGGGGUGUAGCGGUGGAAUGCGUAGAGAUCCGGAAGAACACCGGUGGCGAAGGCGGUGAGCUGGGGCAGUUGCUGACACUGAGGCGCGACAGCGUGGGGGAGCAAACAGG